UUAUACCGCGCGCAAUGGAAUUUCCAUUUCGAUAGAUAUUCAUUACCUGAUAGAAGAAAACAGGAACUGGUUUAGUUCGAUUAAGGCGUGUAUAAAGGUGGAAUUUGAAUAUCUUUAUCCUUGAGGUACAAAUAUAAAUAGUAAUUUGGAGGCCAAACCAGAUCAUCCUUAAAGAAAAGAAGUUGAAGAGUAAGAAGAGAUUUCUUAGAUAUAGCGCUUGUUUAGCUGCAGAGAAUAACAUAACAUAACAAAGGUUUUUUUGAAAUAUUGGGAAGUAAUCAUUGAAGACUUUACUGCCCAUCAUCACGCAGGGAGUGUCUACUUGAAAUAUGAAAUUCCAAUAAAUCACAGUUAUCAGUAGAGUUUAUGAAUGGGCCAGCAAUCCUCACCACUAUGGCUGUGAUCUUAUUGUUAGUACGUCUUUGGGUCUCCUCAUUGCGCACUCACCUCUGAAACUGAUCCCCAGCUAUGUCCUUUCCAUGGCUCUUUGGUUUGGUGGGUUCCAGGUCACAGAGACAUUGAGGGCAAUAAGAAGGCGGAAAAGCUGGCCAAAGAAGCAACGAAUACGCCCUUCAUUGGAUUCUAACCCGGUUGUGGAUUACAAAAAAAGCCAUCUAAAACAAGUCUAUCUAUCACAAGGCCUCGAAGGUAGCCUUACAUUGGAAAAAACAUCCAGGUCACAGAGAAGCGAAGAGUAUGAUAACUCCCUCGCAAAACAAAACCAAACAGGUUUUAUGCAUCAGCAAACAUUGAAAACCUUAGAGAGACUGUGCAAUCGUUACAUAAGGGAUAUCUGUCUUGUCGAUAGACCAUUAAGCGGCAAGGACAGUAAAAUCUAACAGGACUGCUACAUCCAUUGUUGUGACAACCUACCCGCCAACUACGUCACACCAUUUUCCACGACCAGCUGUUAUUAUGGUCUAUGGGUUUGCUGUGUAUUUUUAAAGGUUAUAUC